GCUACAAGCUCUUCAGAAGAGACAGAAAAGGGAGAAGAGGUGGAGGGGUGGCCCUUUAUAUUAGGGAGGUUUUGGAUGUCAUAGGUGACCCUCCUGGUGGACGCAGGAAAGGCUGUGAAUGUUGUCUAUUUAGACUUCAGUAAGGCCUUUGGCACUGUCUCCCACAGCAUACUCCUGGAGAAGCCCACGGCUUGGACAGGAGCACUCUUUGCUGGGUUAGGAACUGGCUGGAUGGCCGGGCCCAGAGAGUGAUGGUGAAUGGUGCCGCAUCCAGCUGGCAGCCAGUCACCAGUGGUGUCCCUCAGGGGUCUGUACUGGGACCAGUUCUAUUUAAUAUUUUUAUAAAUGACAUGAAUGAGGGCAUGAAGUCUUUCAUUAGUAAAUUUGCAGAUGACACUAAGCUGGGAGCGUGUGUUGAUCUAUUGGAAGGAAGGAGGGGUCUGCAGAGAGACUUAGAUCAGUUGGAUGGAUGGGCAGAGUCCAAGGGCAUGAAGUUUAAUAAGUCUAAGUGCCAUGUUCUACAUUUUGGCCACAAAAAUCCCCUACGCCAUUACAAGAUGGGGACAGUGUGGCUGGACAGUGCUCAGGAAAGGGACCUGGGGGUGCUGGUUGACAGCCGGUUGAAUAUGAGCCAAAAAUGUGCCUUGGUGGCCAAGAAGGCCAAUGGCAUCCUGGCCUGCAUUAGGAAUUGCAUGGCCAGCAGGAGCAGGGAAGUCAUUCUUCCCCUGUACUCGGUGCUGGUGAGGGCACACCUGGAGUGCUGUGUCCAGUUCUGGGGCCCUCAGUUUAGGAAGGAUGUUGAGAUGCUUAAGCACAUCCAGAAGAGGGCAACAAGGCUGGUGAGGGGCUUGGAACACAAGCCCUAUGAGUGUAGCAGGCCCAGGGCCUGCAAGGCCUCCUUGGAGGUCAGAAGCCUGAGCCAGGAAAUGCCAAGUCAUCAUGACCGGACCUUAGAAGCCCCUCUCUUCCGCCUUUCAGACCCUCCUUAUCUCUCUGUAAGCCUAUAGGUCACUUUUCCUUGACCUUUACUAUUGGACAAUUUCCAAAACUCCUGUAGAGUAUAAAAACCCCUGAUUCUGCCUGGUUCGGCAGAAGAGCUGUCCCUGAGAACCUUCGCGGAAGACCCUAAUAAAGAAUCCUGCAGAACCUCA